CCUUCUCUAAUAAUAACUUUUAGCUGUUGUGCUUUUUCUUUGGAACGAGGUAUCUGUUCCAGCCCUUCCUUCUCACCCUAUUUUCCCAGGUCGGAGAGACAGCCUGGCAUUCUGUUGGACCUCUGAAGCUGCCAGUCCACUGUGGGAAAAGUCCAGCUUGGGCGGAGAACAUGCUGUUUGUUUGCCAGGAGGUGGAAGAGCUGAGAAGCCGAACAAUGGAUGGCGAGAUAACUCAAAGAAUAGCAACAGCAGGAAGCCACUGAUACUUCUGAACUGGAACUCAACAGGGAAGAAGUGCUCUUUUACCAAAGUGCAGGAGGCACGAGGGUCAUCUGGUAGAAAACCACUGUGGGACUGUCUGGUGGGAGUUGGAGCCACAGAGGAGAUGCCAGAGACACUGCCCUAUGCAGAGAGGGAGGGGGAGAAAUACCCUGGGAAACAUGGCUCGCCAAGGGUCAAUCUCCUGGAAUCCAGAGCAGAGCAGCAGAGGGUGAGGGCUAGCCCGGGCGGGGAGUCCCAUGUGGAUGUGUGUGGAAGGGAGUUCAGAAUCAAGUCUUGCUGCGUGUGGACCUUGUGUCUUCAGUGCCAGGGAUGACUCCUGGCUGCCAUGAAAUCUACCAGUAGCAGCACCUCCUGUCAUAAAAUAGUCUGGUAGAGUGUAAUGGUUAAGAUGUACAGUAGAGUUCUUGCUAGGAAUGUGGGGCAUAUGAAUGUAUGCAUUUUUUCAAAACUCAUUGAACUAUAAUCUUUAAGUUAUACCUCAAUAAAAUAUACAAAUACAGAAAGAGUAUUAGGCUCUGGAGCCAUACUGUCUGUAUUUGCUACUAACUAGCUCUUAUGGACUGAAUUGUGUCCUCCCCCCACUCUCCCCCCACCCCCAAAUUCCUUGUUGAGGUCCUAACUCUCAGUGUGACUGUAUUUGGAUAUGGGGCCUCUAAGAAGGUAAUUAAGGUUAAAUGAAGUCAUAGGGUGGGGCCCUCACCUGAUAGGACUGUGUCUUCAUAAGAUGAGGAAGAUAAACCAGAGAUCUCUCUCUCUGCGUGUGUACCGAAUUAAAGGCCAUGUGAGGACACAGCAGGAAGGCAGCAAUCUGCAAGCCAGGAAAAGAGGCUUCACCAGAAAUCAACCUUGCCAGCACCUUGAUCUUGGACUUUGAGACUCCAGAAGGCUGAGAAAAUAAAUUUCUGUUCUUAACAUCA